GCAUAUCAAUAAGCGGAGGAAAAGAAACCAACAGGGAUUGCCCUAGUAACGGCGAGUGAAGCGGCAACAGCUCAAAUUUGAAAUCUGGCUCUCGGGCCCGAGUUGUAAUUUGUAGAGGAUGCUUUUGAUGCGGUGCCUUCCGAGUUCCCUGGAACGGGACGCCAUAGAGGGUGAGAGCCCCGUCUGGUUGGAUACCAAAUCUCUGUAAAGCUCCUUCGACGAGUCGAGUAGUUUGGGAAUGCUGCUCUAAAUGGGAGGUAUAUGUCUUCUAAAGCUAAAUACUGGCCAGAGACCGAUAGCGCACAAGUAGAGUGAUCGAAAGAUGAAAAGCACUUUGAAAAGAGAGUUAAAAAGUACGUGAAAUUGUUGAAAGGGAAGCGUUUAUGACCAGACUUGGGCUUGGAUAAUCAUCUGGGGUUCUCCCCAGUGCACUUUUCCAGUCCAGGCCAGCAUCAGUUUUCGCCGGGGGAUAAAGGCUUCGGGAAUGUGGCUCCCUCCGGGGAGUGUUAUAGCCCGUUGCGUAAUACCCUGGCGGGGACUGAGGUUCGCGCAUCUGCAAGGAUGCUGGCGUAAUGGUCAUCAACGACCCGUCUUGAAACACGGACCAAGGAGUCGUCUUCGUAUGCGAGUGUUCGGGUGUCAAACCCCUACGCGUAAUGAAAGUGAACGCAGGUGAGAGCUUCGGCGCAUCAUCGACCGAUCCUGAUGUUCUCGGAUGGAUUUGAGUAAGAGCAUACGGGGCCGGACCCGAAAGAAGGUGAACUAUGCCUGUGUAGGGUGAAGCCAGAGGAAACUCUGGUGGAGGCUCGCAGCGGUUCUGACGUGCAAAUCGAUCGUCAAACAUGGGCAUGGGGGCGAAAGACUAAUCGAACCUUCUAGUAGCUGGUUUCCGCCGAA
rnacentral:rRNA from 1 species